GAACAUCACACACCAGGGCCUGUCUGGGGGUGGGGGACUAGGGGAGGGAUAGCAUUAGGAAAAUUACCUAAGGUAGAUGAGGGGUUGAUGUGUACAGCAAACCACCAUGGCACGUCUAUAACUAUAUAACAAACCUGCACGUUCUGCACAUGUAUCUCAGGUCUUAAAGUAUAAUUAAAAAAAAAAAGAAAGAAAAGAAAGGAAGGAAGAACUUCUGGACAAAAUGCCACCCAGAGAAUUGAGUGCUGCUAGACUUCUUUGUGUGUAAUCUCUUCUCAUGCUCUCAUUUUUAAAUUUUUUAUAAUUGUCACAAUUUCUGAGGCAAAAACAAAACUCCCAAAUGCCUGAGAAAGUACCUGACCAUCAUUUCCAUUGCCAGCAUUCUUCAGCCCUUUGAUAUUGGUUGUUUUUGCCUACUUAUGGGUAAUUUAUACCAAGUGUCAUGAAAACAAAACAAAACACAGUGGCCUUUAAUGUUUAAAAAAAAAAAAAAAGAUGGUCUGAAACUCAUCAGUAUUAUUUAGGCAAAAUAUUGAAAGUACAUUGUAUCUGUUCAUUCGUUUGUUUGAAUGGUUUGUAAAAAUCAUCCCAUUUAUUCGUAUGCGUUCUACAGGCACAUCUAAAGUCAGACUUUUUUGUUUUUCUGAAUGCAUUCUGUUUCCUGUGACUGUCACCUAGACUGCUUUAGGAUGCCUUUUGAAUAUUAAGCAUUAAUUUGCUGUUAUGUAAAACCUGGAAUAUAUAGUCUUGUAGGGUACAUACACAUUUUAUGGCCUGUUUUUGAUAACCCAAAUGUGGUCACCAAGAAGGAACCCAAGUUCCAAGUAGAAGUUACACUGAAAGUCAACCCAGUGACCAGUCACAUCUCCUAAGAAGACAAAAGUAAAAUUGAAGGAUCAGCUUCGAUGGACGGACAGCAUUACUUUUAUAGUGGACUAUAUAAAGUGUCUACAACUUCAGCUCAUGUAAAACUACAUUAAAUAUUUAUGUCUAUUUUACUGCCUGGAAAUCUUGGUUAAUUUACCUUUCACCUGAAGUUUGUGUUAAAUGACCAGGAAGUGCUUAUUUUUUCUAAAAAGAAAAAUUAUUUAAAUAAAUACUUUAAACAUAGUGCUCUAGAGAGUCUUACAUUGGCAACUAAACACUUCAGCCAAAAAUGACACAGUCAUUUUGGUUCACAGCUGACUAACCUGAACCAAUUACAGAGCUACAUACAAAAUGAAGGCAUCAGAGUUCAAGUCUUCUAAUGACAAUCAUGUAUUCACAAAUUACAUUUAUCAGGAUCAAUGUCAUUAAAUUUCAAUUAUAUAAGGUUUGUGCGGGGAAAGGAUGUUUUAAUUUUUGCUUUUGUUUACAAUGCAAAUAGAAAAAUAAUCAUGCUCUAAAUAAGACUGGAAGAGACCAGUAUGCAAAGGAUCCUCAGAAACUACCACUGGCAUUGAAACCAUGCUGACAGCAUCUACUGAAAAGUCACUUACUGGAGCAUCACAAUUUACGUUUGCUACAAAACCUUACUGCUAAGAA